rnacentral:rRNA from 1 species
UACGAAGGGUGCAAGCGUUAAUCGGAAUUACUGGGCGUAAAGGGUGCGUAGGCGGCCUUUCAAGUGACGGGUGAAAGCCCUCGGCUUAACCGAGGAACUGCCUGUCAGACUGGAAGGCUUGAGACCGGGAGAGGUGAGUGGAAUUCCCAGUGUAGCGGUGAAAUGCGUAGAUAUUGGGAGGAACACCAGUGGCGAAGGCGGCUCACUGGACCGGUACUGACGCUGAGGCGCGAAAGCGUGGGGAGCAAACAGG